UGGGCAACCUGCCCUCAGCUCUGGGAUAACUCCAAGAAAUUGGGGCUAAUACUGGAUAUUACUUCUGGUCGCAUGGCUGGUGGUGGAAAGUUUUUCGGUGGAAGAUGAGCUCGCGGCCUAUCAGCUUGUUGGUGGGGUAAUGGCCUACCAAGGCGUCGACGGGUAGCCGGCCUGAGAGGGCGACCGGCCACACUGGGACUGAGACACGGCCCAGACUCCUACGGGAG
rnacentral:rRNA from 1 species